GGCUGGUCCAAGUGCAGUGGUGUUUACAGCUAAUUUAUCACAACCAGUUGCAGAUCGCUUUAUUCCUUCUCCACUCAGACUGCUUCACUUGACUAACCUUAA
ensembl:misc_RNA Y_RNA Y RNA